GUCACAGCAGUACAACAGUGAAAAUUUACGUUAACAUUAGAAACUACUCAGCUAGAACAAAAUGAAUUACAAGGUUACUUUCACCAUCUUUGCUCUCUUUGCACUGUACGUACCAUCUACACAAGAGCCACACUCAAAAAUGGCAGGGAAGUUUGCCUGGAUCCUGAAGCUCCUUGGGUGAAGAAAAUAAUCAACAGAGCUUUGGAUAAUAAUUGAAAGAAUUCUCUGACCCAUGGGGAGAAGAUGGAAAAAGUACGACGUCACAGAUUGGCACGGAAAAGCACCAUCGCUUGCCCCUAUGCUACUGCUAGAAGCUCACCUUACAUUUUGGUUUGAUUCAUUUUGAGUUGAAAAUCAUUAAAAUCUGUAUUUAUGUUCACCUUGUGGCAUACUCAUCUAAGCAGCUUCUUCAGUUAUACUUAAUGAAACUACAUCUUGUGCAGAGAUAAUGAUAGUAGAAUAAGAAAAUGAUCCUGAUUGACAGAACCAACCAGAAUCAUAGAAACAUAAUGGUGGGAGAUGAUUGGCUCAGCUGCAUGCGUCACCUGAUAAUCAAUAAUGCAAUAUAACCUGAUAUUGCUGUACUUGAUUUGCAGCUUGUAGGCAACAGUGCCUUAAUGUUGAUAUAAUGUGGCAUCCUGCCUCUAACCCCUUCCAGACUGUGGGUUCUGAAUUUUUAUCACUUUGAGCAAAAAGAAUUCUUCUCAUCUCUCCUCAAAUCUUGUAAUCAUUAUUUUAAAUCCCUCACUUGCAUGGAUUUAAGAACCACUUGCUAAAAUAAAUGGAUCUUCCCAUUUAUUCUUUCUUAGCUGGGCAGAAUAACAUACUAAAUAAAUCUUCCCUCAAUCCCCUAUAUUUCAGAGAAAAGAAUCUCGGAAGAUGUUUCCUAACAUUUUCCAGUCACAGCAACUUCCACAAUAACUUUGUUAGUUCAGUUGCAAAACUUUCUAUUGUGUGGAUCCAGAACAAUGUUCAGACACUACCUGUGAGCUAACAAGCAUUUUAUGGUUCUAGGACAACCUCUCUGCUCUUGUAUUCUGUACCCCAGUAAUAAAAUGCCAAGGUGAUUCUGCCACUGGGCCCUUGGGCUCCCCUACCCCAACCACCACUCUCCAAGGCUGGGUCUCUCAGGCUCCAUUGUCAACUCUUGGGUCCUUGGAGCCUCCAUUUUUUCCUACCCCACUUUCCAUGAACACCCUAACCCUCCCCUCCCCUCUGGCGCCAAACCUCUUCCCCCCCUCUAAUCCCAGCUCUAAUCCUUGUUGUGUCUUCACCAUUCCCUCAGAUCUUCCCCUCUCUGAGGAAGAAUGUUCUGUCCUCAGCGAGGGCCUUACCUUUGUCCCGUUUGCCCACAUCUCAGUGAAUUUUGUGCCUGCCAAGACACCAGGCUUUCCUUCCCUCGUCUCUAUCCCUGAGCCCGCAUCCUUGGCAAGAAUUCCACACCCCGCACUGAUGACCCCUUCUCCAGACUUCAGCCUUCCUCUUCUUCUUGGACACCCUGUUCUGGUUCUCUGCCAGCUCUGGAUCUUUUCAUCCUGAAUCACUGAUGAGAUACCAACCACCUUGACUUCAGCACUCCUCUCUUCUCCUCCAACCUUAUCCCCUCUGAGCUCUCUCCGCACCAAUCCCAACCUUACCAUCAAACCUGCAGACAGAGGGUGUGCUGUUGUAGUGUGGUGCACUAACCUCUACCUUGCUGAGGUCAGGCAGAGGAUCUUACUCCAGACCAUCAGAAAGCUGUCUCCGACACCAUCUCUGACCUCAUCAGCUCUGGAGAACUCCCAUCCCUGCCAUCAAAUUUAUAGUUCCUCGUCCUCACAUUCCUCACUUUUACAUCCUACCCAAGACCCACAAACCUGACUGUCUGGAUAGGCUCAUUGUCUCUGCCUGCUCCUGUCCCACUGAAUUCUUGUCCUCAUUCCUCGAUUCUAUUCUAUCACUCUUGGUUCAGUCCCCUCUCACCUACAUUUGUGACACUUCUUGUGCUCUCGAUAUCCUCAUUAAAUUUCAGUUCUCCGGCCCUGAUUGCCUCAUUUUCACCAUGGAUGUCCAGUCACUAUACACAUCUAUUCCCAAUUAAGAAGGCCUUCUUUCUCAAUAAAUGAACAAACCAGUUCCCCUCCACCCUCCUCCUCCUCCUCCUUCAUCUAGCAGAGCUGGUCCUCGUCAUCAGAUCUCAUUCCUACGCUCUGAUUCCCUAAACUUUGCCAAAGUAUUGAACCAAACUGUCUUCUCCUAAUGAAUCAAUGCUAGCUGCAUUGUAUUAACCUUUGCCAAUGUAAGCUUUAUAUUUUUGGAGUGUUCAAUAAUUGUAGUUCAUAGUCUUAUGGUAAAACAAGAAUGUUUAUUGGUUUUCAAAAACUGAGUAUUCCUUUGUUCAUUAUUAUUGAAGUAUUAAGAUUGGUUAAGAUUUCUUUUUGUAUGUUUAAAUAGCAGUUCAUCUAUGUUGAUUUUCAUAAUCUGAUAAUAUUGUUAUAGCCAAUAAAAUGUUCCCAUUGCAUUGAUUUAUAAUGAAUUUUAUAAGGAAGAGUUUAAUAGAGGGAGCAGGAUGGAUUACUUGCAUUGACAUCAUUGUAUUCAGAAAAGCGUUAUGAGUUGAAAUUCAUGGAGUGUGGGCUCAUCUCAAUAGAAUUCCUGCGGUUCAGAUGGUGAACAGAUGGUUAACCGGCAGAUGAAAACCCCCUUCAUCAGAGGCAGUGUUGCGCAACUGUACAAGAUUGCAGUGAAAGGUCCAGCGAGCAGAUGUGAAGAAGUCCAUAAACUUUAAUGUUUUUGCACACUGGAAAAAUACAACAUACGAAAAUGAUGAAUUUCUUGCAAACUCAUCCCAAUGGAAUGGUGAAUUUAAAUGCUUUUAAAACAACCAAUGUCCCAUCAGAUUCAGGAACCAGUCAUUAUUGUGUUUGUCUAACUAUAUGCACGAGUUUGUAAAUGAACACCAAUUCAAAUAAAGAUCACCUCAUUAUUACU